AAAACCUUACUGAUCAACUCCAAGGUACCCAUUGGGAAACUGAUUAGGGUAGAAAUGAAAUCCAAGAACCGAUAGAAUAGCCAAUCCUCGGACUGCUUGCAAAUCCUGCCGCUUUGA
ensembl:ncRNA T09E11.14 ncRNA